CCUACGGGAGGCAGCAGUAGGGAAUUUUCCGCAAUGGGCGAAAGCCUGACGGAGCAAUACCGCGUGAGGGAUGACUGCCUGUGGGUUGUAAACCUCUUUUCUCAAGGAAGAAGUCCUGACGGUACUUGAGGAAUAAGCAUCGGCUAACUCUGUGCCAGCAGCCGCGGUAAUACAGAGGAUGCAAGCGUUAUCCGGAAUCACUGGGCAUAAAGCGUCUGUAGGUGGUUUGGUAAGUCUGCUGUUAAAGACUGGGGCUCAGCCCCAGAAAAGCAGUGGAAACUGCCAAACUUGAGUGUGGUAGAGGUAGAGGGAAUUCCUAGUGUAGCGGUGAAAUGCGUAGAUAUUAGGAAGAACACCAAUGGCGAAAGCACUCUACUGGACCAUAACUGACACUGAGAGACGACAGCUAGGGGAGCAAAUGGGAUUAGAUACCCCAGUAGUCCUAGCCGUAAACGAUGGAUACUAGAUGUUGCACGUAUUAACCCCGUGCAGUAUCGUAGCUAGACGUUAAGUAUCCGCCGUCGGAGUACGCGUCGCAGAGUAGAACGUACGAAAGAAGUAGACGGCGUGAGACGUGCCGACGGACGACGACGACGGGAGGUUAGG
rnacentral:rRNA from 1 species